rnacentral:rRNA from 1 species
CCUACGGGAGGCAGCAGUGGGGAAUAUUGGGCAAUGGAGGCAACUCUGACCCAGCAAUGCCGCGUGAGUGAUGAAGGUAAUUUUAUUGUAAAGCUCUUUUCUUGGGGACGAAUAAAUGACGGUACCAACGGCAUAAGCCCCGGCUAGCUAAGUGCCCCCCGCCGCGGUAAUACGUAGGGGGCAAGCGUUGUUCGGGAUGACUGGGCGUAAAGGGUGGGUAGGUGGUUUGAUAAGUUCGAUGUGUAAUAACCAGGGCUUAACCCGGGGGCUGCAUCUAAAACUGUUAGACUGGAGUACUGGAGAGGAUAGUGGAAUUCCCAGUGUAGCGGUGGAAUGCGUAGAUAUUAGGAGGAACAUCCGUGGCGAAGGCGACUAUCUGGACAGUAACUGACACUGAGGCACGAAGGCGUGGGGAGCAAACAGGAUUAGAUACCCUAGUAGUC